GGUUAAAUACAGGAAAGCAUGUGAGAGGCAUGUAGUGGGUGAUACAAGGGAAGUCAGAAUUGCAAAAGAAUGCCUCAUUUCCAGGUGGGGGUGGCUUUGGACCAUAUAAAAGGCUGCCCACCACAGUGGUCUUCAUUCGCUCAUCUUGCCUUCUCCUCACUUGUCCUCACAGGUUGACAGGCUUUGCCUUCACUACUACCAACAACAUGGCCAACGGUUGUGGAUGCUGUGGAAACAACAAUAACAACUAUGCCAUCUGCUGCUACAGCACCCGGAAGUCGGCCUGCAAGACACCGAUGUGCUGCUCGCCCAUGCAGUGCUGCACUCCCUGCUGCACUCCCUGCUGCACUCCCUGCUGCAUGCCCAUGCAGACCUGCUGCUACGUCAUGGGCAAUAACAACAACAACGGAGGCUGCUGUAGCUGCUGCGGCGGCAACUAAACCCGCUCGGCAAAGGGCAGGCAGGGCUGCGCUCAUCACCUCUGCCACCACGCUGCCUUCCGCCUCCCUCCUGGCUCACUCGGUGUCAGAUACAGACACAGAUACAGCCCUAAAUGCUCUUCCUCUUUAGAGACUGUAGAUCAUCUUUCCUCCUCUUCAUCUGCCUUUAAUCACUGACUGCCUGUAAUGUGCCUUGAAGUUGCUCCUCAUGAUUUUCCUUUGUAAGCAUGAGUCCUGCUGUUAAUCUUCCUCUUGGUGUGUGGGAUGUUUAAUUUCUUUCAUCACUGUUUUUCUUUAAUCUCUCUGAAAAAUCAAUAAAAUCUGUAGUUCAUGACCCUGCAAAA